rnacentral:rRNA from 1 species
CAGCCGCCGCGGUAAUACGGAGGGUGCAAGCGUUAAUCGGAAUUACUGGGCGUAAAGCGCACGCAGGCGGUCUGACAAGUCAGAUGUGAAAUCCCCGGGCUUAACCUGGGAACUGCAUUUGAAACUGUCAGGCUGGAGUCUUGUAGAGGGGGGUGGAAUUCCAGGUGUAGCGGUGAAAUGCGUAGAGAUCUGGAGGAAUACCGGUGGCGAAGGCGGCCCCCUGGACAAAGACUGACGCUCAGGUGCGAAAGCGUGGGGAGCAAACAGGAUUAGAUACUCCUGUAGUCCCUGUCUCUUAUAA